rnacentral:rRNA from 1 species
AAAGAAACCAACAGGGAUUGCCCUAGUAACGGCGAGUGAAGCGGCAACAGCUCAAAUUUGAAAUCUGGCCCUCGGGUCCGAGUUGUAAUUUGUAGAGGAUGCUUUUGGUGAGGUACCUUCCGAGUUCCCUGGAACGGGACGCCAUAGAGGGUGAGAGCCCCGUCUGGUUGGAUACCGAUCCUCUGUAAAGCUCCUUCGACGAGUCGAGUAGUUUGGGAAUGCUGCUCUAAAUGGGAGGUAUAUGUCUUCUAAAGCUAAAUAUUGGCCAGAGACCGAUAGCGCACAAGUAGAGUGAUCGAAAGAUGAAAAGCACUUUGAAAAGAGAGUUAAAAAGUACGUGAAAUUGUUGAAAGGGAAGCGCUUAUGACCAGACUUGGACUUGGUUGAUCAUCCUGGGUUCUCCCUGGUGCACUCUUCCAGUUCAGGCCAGCAUCAGUUCGCUGCGGGGGAUAAAAGUUUUGGGAAUGUGGCUCCCUCGGGAGUGUUAUAGCCCAUUGCAUAAUACCCUGCUCCGGACUGAGGUUCGCGCAUCUGCAAGGAUGCUGGCGUAAUGGUCAUCAGCGACCCGUCUUGAAACACGGACCAAGGAGUCGUCUUCGUAUGCGAGUGUUCGGGUGUUAAACCCCUACGCGUAAUGAAAGUGAACGCAGGUGAGAGCUUCGGCGCAUCAUCGACCGAUCCUGAUGUUCUCGGAUGGAUUUGAGUAAGAGCAUACGGGGCCGGACCCGAAAGAAGGUGAACUAUGCCUGUAUAGGGUGAAGCCAGAGGAAACUCUGGUGGAGGCUCGCAGCGGUUCUGACGUGCAAAUCGAUCGUCAAAUAUGGGCAUGGGGGCGAAAGACUAAUCGAACCUUCUAGUAGCUGGUU